GGUACUGCUCUUCGUAGAUCGGCGAGAAGACAGAGGGGGAGAGCGGUACGACGAUGUAGUGGGCGUAAAGAGUGAGUAGGGGGCACGCGGAGGCGAUUGUGAAAUCCCUGGGCUCAACCUGGGAAGUGCAGUCGAUACUGGAGAGCUAGAGUUCGGGAGAGGGUGACGGAAUUCCCGGUGUAGCGGGGAAAUGCGUAGAUAUCGGGAGGAACAUCGAUGGCGAAGGCAAUCACCUGGGCCUGAACUGACACUGAGACACGAAAGCGUGGGUAGCAAACAGGAUUAGAUACCCUGGUAGUC
rnacentral:rRNA from 1 species